UCGCCGAAGCCUGAUGCACCGCCGGCUGAGCCUCCCUCCUUCCUCUCCCUAUCGCGGCAUGGAGAUUCUCAUCCUUCUCCCGAUUGAGCUUCGGCCGGCCACCGAACCCGAGCUUUUGCCUCUUCUUGCGAUUUCCCCUAAAAUCCCGAUUUCCUUCUCGGAUUGUUGAAUGCCGAUCCACGCGCCGCCCUCUUUCGACUUCUCAUCGUCGCAGACUACCGACCUUCGACGCUGAUGAGCCCUGGUCGCCGAUUGCCGCCAUCAGUAGCCGCAUCUUCUUCCCUUGCACGCGGGCUACUGACCUAAGGGGGAGAAGGGGCGCUAAUUCUAGGGUUUCCAGACAUCUUUAUUUGCUUGGAGUCACGUGAUCACCGAGGCUUCACACCUGCUGGUUUUGGAUUGGGAAACAACAUCGGAGGCGACUGAUCAAGGCUUCAGAUCAACCUGGUGAUGGUUCUUCCCUGAGCAGGCCUUGACCUUCUUCCUCCUUGUGGCUGAUUGGAGUCUCAGCUGAAGAAUUAAGCAUCUGUUGAGCUUCUGGCAGUGAGUUGUAGGGUUAGCUACUGGUUUGCUGCCAUCCCUCAAGGUUACUGUGAGCUCUUGAUUUGUGGCACUAUCUCGAGGAUUUUGGAUAUGGGACGAUCAUCACGAUGUGGGAUUUAUUUUAUCACGAUUAA